ACACACAAUGUAAAAGAGUCACAAGUUCAGUACAGUCAGGAGUAUAAUUUUAAGGUUUUAUAACUGCAAUGUAAAUAUAUCAGUUGUUUUAAAUCAAAGAUGAAUUUAUUAAUGAGUGGAUACUGCAGCUUGGAUAUAUAUGUAUGUGUAUGGGCAUUUUGCUAUAACAAAGUGUCCUUGAACUAAGUUAUAAAAUCACAAAAAAUCUAUUUUCCUAUUGAAUUGGUAUAAGAAACAGUUCACUAUCUGUUCCCUUUGGAAUAAGCCACAAGUAUACUUUUUAAAAAGUAGGCUAUACAGUGGAAGUGUAGCAAAUAUCUUGACACUAGGUAUCACAUUUUAGAAAGAAAAUCUAAACAAAAACUUGCUGAAUGUUAUAUAACAUUGAAGGGCAAGAAGCAAUAUAAGGAAUCAAUAUAACCAUUACUGUUAUAGAACUGAAAGAAACUGAAAAUAGGAAGGUAUUUUUAAAAUGCUUAAUAAUUGCAAUUAAGUGAAUCAAUGUAUUCAUAAGAAUGUAUAUUGAUCAAGCGUGUUUUAAAAAAUGUAUUUAUAUUCAUGAAAACACUACAACAAUUAUUUUUUGGAAACUGUUAGAAUUAAAGUAUCCAGCUGCAUUAUACUUUGUGCUUAUGAUUUGUGUGAUGUGGAUUAAUGAACCUGAACAAAAUAAGACAAUAUAAUUCACUCUAUAAAAUGUAGCCAAAUGCUUACCGGAGAGGGAGCUAGAACAUUAAAGCUGAACAGAAAAAUGCAGGGCUAUAGUGCAGUAGAAGAAUUCUUGUAUCUUAUCUUUGUAACCCCCAGGUAUGAAAGAUUUCCAAAAUCUAGGAAAGUUGCUGCCAAUCACACAGUACACAAUGUAAAGCAAGUCUAUAUUAUUUAUUGGGGGUAGAAAUAGAGCAGAAUGCCUCAACUGAUUAUCUUUGUGUAUAGAUGUACACCUAAAACAAAGCCUUGAAACUGGUUAAUCUCAGAGGGAACAUUUACUGUGCUUUCAUGUUUCCUAUGUAAUAGAUAAGUAUGUGUAUAUGUAUGUAACGACAGUUUCGGAUCAAUGCAUGAAAAUAUUUUUUAACAAUUCUACCAUACUUAUGUUUCAGCAUCAUCCACAAAUUUUACAAAUGGCAGCAUGAGUCAUACUACAGCAUAAAAUGGAAGAGUUGAUGCCAGAUGUGAAGGAGUGUUCAGUUAAAAUACAUUGUUUAUUAUCUUUCCAAUUAUAAAUUGUAGGCUAGGAAGGAUGAAACAAAUAGCAAUUUUGUUUUCUAGUAUUUCUAUUUCUUUUAUGCAGUAAAGGGCAUGAGGAACUUGGCAUUAAAUAUUUCAAUAUUUUCAAAACAUGGGGUGCUAUUUUUUUCAAGACUAGAAUUUAUAAGAAACAUAUAUACUAACACUAGACUGUAAAUUGUAUUAUUUAGCCAUAAAUAAAUUAUUGUUGGUUAAACCUAGAAGGUAUCCUCACUGGCAACAUGGUAUUUUCCAGAAUUUUCUGCUCAUAAGAUUUGGAGAAGAUUUCCCAACAACUCUGAAGAGCUUGCAGGAUAUGAGAGCAAAAGAUCCAGUUGUCCCAAACAUAUCAACUGCCUAACAUAUGUUGUGGCCCAGAAUUUUGUAUUUUCAUAUGGAUCAUGAUGAUCCAUCUACUUUACAAAGUGAUGUUUUGGAACAUUUAAAGAUGGAUAAAAACUGUAUUUCUAUCAGAUUCACUCAGCCUAUGUUUCAUCUGUUGCACCAUCUGUGCUGUGUUAGCUUUUUUGUCUUCUCGCAGCCUUUUCCGUAAAGCCCUUAAAAAAAAUAAAAACUUUAGUCAGCUCUA